rnacentral:rRNA from 1 species
UAGGUGGCGAGCGUUAUCCGGAUUUACUGGGUGUAAAGGGCGUGUAGGCGGGAUUGCAAGUCAGAUGUGAAAACCACGGGCUCAACCUGUGGCCUGCAUUUGAAACUGUAGUUCUUGAGUGCUGGAGAGGCAAUCGGAAUUCCGUGUGUAGCGGUGAAAUGCGUAGAUAUACGGAGGAACACCAGUGGCGAAGGCGGAUUGCUGGACAGUAACUGACGCUGAGGCGCGAAAGCGUGGGGAGCA